UAGGGAAUCUUCGGCAAUGGACGGAAGUCUGACCGAGCAACGCCGCGUGAGUGAAGAAGGUUUUCGGAUCGUAAAGCUCUGUUGUAAGAGAAGAACGAGUGUGAGAGUGGAAAGUUCACACUGUGACGGUAUCUUACCAGAAAGGGACGGCUAACUACGUGCCAGCAGCCGCGGUAAUACGUAGGUCCCGAGCGUUGUCCGGAUUUAUUGGGCGUAAAGCGAGCGCAGGCGGUUUGAUAAGUCUGAAGUUAAAGGCUGUGGCUCAACCAUAGUUCGCUUUGGAAACUGUCAAACUUGAGUGCAGAAGGGGAGAGUGGAAUUCCAUGUGUAGCGGCGAAAUGCGUAGAUAUAUGGAGGAACACCGGUGGCGAAAGCGGCUCUCUGGUCUGUAACUGACGCUGAGGCUCGAAAGCGUGGGGAGCGAACAGGAUUAGAUACCCUGGUAGUCCACGCCGUAACGAUGAGUGCUAGGUGUUGGAUCCUUUCCGGGAUUCAGUGCCGCAGCUAACGCAUUAAGCACUCCGCCUGGGGAGUACGACCGCAAGGUUG
rnacentral:rRNA from 1 species